UGAAGUUUCAAGUGGCAUUUAGGACGUUCGCGCCGUGAUUGAUAUACACAGGGUCGGCUAUAUUUUGAAGUGUCAGUUACCAGGGUGGUACUUUGGGAUUAAUUUUAAAAAAAUUGAUUAUUUCUGACAUUCUAAUUGUGUGAAGGUACGUGCCGUACUGUUAUCCGCCCCCUUCUAUCAGCCCCCACCCCCACCGUCCCACAAAUAUUACCAACCAAGGUAGUUGUUUUUGGUGUCUAGCGGGCAAACGAAAUAUCCUAGGAUAGCAAUUUUUCAUCAGAUUGUGUCUAGCGGGCAAACAAAACAUCCUACGACAACGAUUCUUUUAUCAGAUUCACACGGAAAACAUGCAAAAAUGUCAUUUUUGUGCUUUAAUGUACUAAUUUUUGGUUAUUUUAGGUGUCUAGCGGGCGAACGAAAUAUCCUAGGUCAGCGAUUCUUUCAUCAGAUUGUGUCUAGUGGCCGAACGAAAUAUCUUAGGUCAGCGAUACUUUCAUCAGAUUGUGUGUAGCGGGCGAACGAAAUAUCCUAGGACAACGAUUCUUUCAUCAGAUUGUGUCUAGCGGGCGAGUGAAAUGUCCUAGGACAAUAUUUCGGUCAUCAGAUUGUGUCUAGCGGGCGAAUGAAAUGUCCUAGGACAACGAUUCUUUCAUCAGAAUAUGUCUAGCAGGUGAACGAAAUAUCCUAGAACAACGAUUCUUUCAUCAAAUUGUGUGUAGCGGGCGAACGAAAUAUCCUAGGACAACGAUUCUUUCAUCAGAUUGUGUCUAGCGGGCGAAUGAAGUGUUCUAGGACAACGAUUCUUUCAUCAGAUUGUGUCUAGCGGGCCAAUGAAAUGUCCGAGGACAACGAUUCUUUUAUCAGAUUAUGUCUAGCGGGUGAACGAAAUAUCCUAGAACAACGAUUCUUUCAUCAGAUUGUGUCUAGCGGGCGAAUGAAGUGUUCUAGGACAACGAUUCUUUCAUCAGAUUGUGUCUAGCGGGCCAAUGAAAUGUCCGAGGACAACGAUUCUUUUAUCAGAUUGUAUCUAGCGGGCGAAUGAAAUGUCCUAGGACAACGAUUCUUUCAUCAGAUUGUGUCUAGUGGCCGAACGAAAUAUCUUAGGUCAGCGAUACUUUCAUCAGAUUGUGUGUAGCGGGCGAACGAAAUAUCCUAGGACAGCGAUUCUUUCACCAAAUUGAAAUAUGUCAUUUUGUAGGAAUUUUUCAAUGAUCAAGAAUAUGAAGUCCGUUUUUUCACAGCCAUUUUUUUCUUGAGUUAAUCCGACCCUGUUUUUCGACUGAAAAAAAUUUCAACAGAAAAAGAUCGAUCCUAUUCUUCGACCGAAAAAUUUUAAUAAAAAAAGUUCGACCCUGUUUUUCAACAAUAGAAUAUAGAAGGGACACACACAAAAUAUAGGAGGCAUAGUCACUUUUAACAUUUCGUAACUGAGAAAUAUAAAACAAUAAAAGAAGUAAAAUACAUAGAAAAUUCGGCGACGCAUUCCACAAGUCCGAGAAAUGUGCUUAGCCCGAAAAUUCAUGUCGACAUUUUGAAACUAGUCAUACCCCUAGCCUAUACGCGCAUAUGUAGCCAAGCAUCUCGCCAAUAUCUCGCAAUGCAACGGAAAAUUAAUAUACAGGGUAUAACCAAAGGAAAAACCAUGUUUUGGAAAGAAAAGUGGCUGGACUGUUAAACAAAUAUAUAGGGUGUUUUAAAAGAAAAAUUAAUACAACACAAAAAUAUCAAAUUUAAGAAUGUGAAUAAUGGGAAACAUCAAAUUGGGACAAUUUUAGAUAGGAAGUCAAGAAAAACAAAUAUACAGGGUAUUCGAAAAUGAAAAUUGGUACAUCAAAAGAAAAAAUGUCAAGUUAAAGAACAAGAAUACUAUAAAACUACAAAGUUGGACAUUUUUUUAAAACUUGCAUAAUGCUGCACACAUAAGUCCGUCCCGUCGGAUAAAAAAAUUGCAUUGCUAUUUGGACCCACAAUGUGCAUCAUACAAAACCAUCCUUAUGCUACAAGAAUUUGAAGAAAAAAUAAAAAUAUGACUAAGGGUUUGCGAGAUAUGACCCGUUUUCUAUAGAAAGUUGUGAAAAAUAAAAAA